UGGGGAAUUUUGGACAAUGGGGGAAACCCUGAUCCAGCCAUCCCGCGUGUGCGAUGAAGGCCUUCGGGUUGUAAAGCACUUUUGGCAGGAAAGUAACGUCAUGGGUUAAUACCCCGUGAAACUGACGGUACCUGCAGAAUAAGCACCGGCUAACUACGUGCCAGCAGCCGCGGUAAUACGUAGGGUGCAAGCGUUAAUCGGAAUUACUGGGCGUAAAGCGUGCGCAGGCGGUUCGGAAAGAAAGAUGUGAAAUCCCAGAGCUCAACUUUGGAACUGCAUUUUUAACUACCGGGCUAGAGUGUGUCAGAGGGAGGUGGAAUUCCGCGUGUAGCAGUGAAAUGCGUAGAUAUGCGGAGGAACACCGAUGGCGAAGGCAGCCUCCUGGGAUAACACUGACGCUCAUGCACGAAAGCGUGGGGAGCAAACAGG
rnacentral:rRNA from 1 species